rnacentral:rRNA from 1 species
CAAUACCUGANUAAAGUGGCGCACGGGUGAGUAACACGUGACUAACCUACCCUGGAGUGGGGGAUAACUGAGGGAAACCUUAGCUAAUACCGCAUAACACCUACGGGUCAAAGGAGCAAUUCGCUUCAGGAGGGGGUCGCGGCCGAUUAGUUAGUUGGCGGGGUAAUGGCCCACCAAGACUGUGAUCGGUAUCCGGCCUGAGAGGGCGCACGGACACACUGGAACUGAAACACGGUCCAGACUCCUACGGGAGGCAGCAGUGGGGAAUUUUGCGCAAUGGGGGAAACCCUGACGCAGCAACGCCGCGUGGAGGAUGAAGUCCUUCGGGACGUAAACUCCUUUCGAUCGGGACGAUUAUGACGGUACCGGAAGAAGAAGCCCCGGCUAACUUCGUGCCAGCAGCCGCGGUAAUACGAGGGGGGCGA